rnacentral:rRNA from 1 species
UACGAAGGGGGCUAGCGUUGUUCGGAAUCACUGGGCGUAAAGGGCGCGUAGGCGGCUUGAUAAGUCGGGGGUGAAAGCCUGUGGCUCAACCACAGAAUUGCCUUCGAUACUGUCGAGCUUGAGUCCGGGAGAGGUGAGUGGAACUCCGAGUGUAGAGGUGAAAUUCGUAGAUAUUCGGAAGAACACCAGUGGCGAAGGCGGCUCACUGGCCCGGUACUGACGCUGAGGUGCGAAAGCGUGGGGAGCAAACAGG